AAAAUAUAAAAGAAGAGCAGUUCUGCAGGCAAAAUUUGCAAAAACCCUAAGCAAAUUUUUCCCAAUUUAACUAGCAACUCAUGUGGAGGGAAAACCCUAGGGUUUAAUUGUGGAAAUUUACUUUGCUGUCCUUGAGGUCAUGUGCAAUUGCCUUGGGAACCAAGUAGCUUGGCGUGAAGGAAAUCUACAUUGAUAAAUGAGCACAAGUUAACUAGGCUUAGGCAAUGAUGGUUGUGGCAUUUAACCGUACACUUGGCUGAAGAAUUGGAUUGGAGUUUUGAAAUGAACGUUUGGGAUAGCCUCAAUUAGCUAAUAAGCAUUUAACCAUACACUUGGUUGAAUAUUUGAUUUGCAUGUUUGAGAUUACUUUGUUCUUCUUUCUAUAUAAGUGGAUGUUGUGCUUUCACAAACCACAACACAUGAGCUACAUUUCAUCUUUUAAAACCAAAGUAAGCAAUGGAGAAUUUUGGAAACUUCACAAUGCAUGCUAAGGAUCGUGAGGCUGCUGGUGUUGUAUGCAUGAUGAAAGGUUUCUGUCAAUCUGCAUUUCCUGUAUACAUGACCUAUGUAAUCUUGAUUGAUAUGUUCUCAGCAAUGUUCUCAUAACCCUCUGAUGACUACAUGAUAUUGAUGAAAGUACUGCUGGAUUUUUCUUAAAUGAUUGAGAUCCAAGACACUGCUAUGACAAGUGGUGUUGUAGAGGCUGCUGAAGCAUUGAUCUCUCUCAAAGAACCUACAGGUUUUGAUUUGAAUGUGCGGCCUGCUAGCAAGGGUGUGUCAAUGGUGAAUUCAUAUCUCUUGGAAUUUGACAUCACAAGUGCAAUGGCAAGGCUGCCUAGGUGUUUUGGAGCAUGGCAUGGAAAUUGAUGAGUUCAUUAUGCUGUGUGAUCCAAGAAACAAUGAGAUAGAGAGGUCCAUGUUGAGAUCAAAGACAACAAGGUAUUUUUCAAGAAUGGCUGGUUUGGGUUGAAGGAUUUCUACAAUAUUGAUAUUUUUGCAUGGGCUACUCUUACAUAUGAAUACUCAGGUUUUAUGCGGAUGACUUUGAAAAAUCGGUUUCACGAGGAAGUUGAAUACCCUGUUUGCAAUCCUCCAGUGAUAGCUAAGUUGGAUCGUGAUUUGUGUCAAUGUAGUUCACUGGUUUUUUGCGCAUUAUCCGUCAUAAUAUUGACUUAUUUUUGGUAUCGCCUUGGGUUGGAUUUUGUAAGAGUGCAUUUCCCACUAAGGAAACUGAGAUCAAAAUCGUUGAUUACUUGGGAUUUACUUAGAGGUGCUCCUAUCGAAUUGUUCAAGCUGAGAAUGAUUUGGUGUGCAAAAUAGGAGGUGAUUAGGGAGCUAUUUGCAAGGCACGAAGGCUGGUGCAGAAUAAUCCUCUAAAGUUGGCUGUAACUCAGGAGUCAGAGAAUAAGAUUGUCUACCUAAGAUAUGUCCCUAUUCCCUGCACCCACAUGGACAUGAUCCGGCCUACGGAUAAAAGUGUGUGCCUUGAUGCUGCUGAGGCAGGGUUCCCCCCAACAGGAACAACUAUCUGUAUCGCAGAUGAAUUUUCCCUUAGAGAGAUGCAAAAGUUGAACACAUAUCAUGUGGAGCUUGAGAUCACAACUCCGAAGACAAGGUUGCCAUCGUGUAUAUGGCGUGCGUUGGUGGCUAUGUCAUUUUGCGUGAUCCAAACAAGAACAUGUUUGAGGUUAAAGUUCACAAGAAAAAUGGCAAGGUGUACUUCAGGGAUGGUUGGAUAGGAUUAAAGGAUUUCUACAAGAUUGGCCUUGGUGCAUGGGUCACCCUUACCUAUAUAGAAUCGAACCUUUUCCACAUGACCAUAAAAGACAGAUCAGGAGUGGAAGUUGACUAUCCAAACAACUGUCUUCCUCCUAUAUCAAAGAUGAUUAUUCCAAGUGAUGGCAUACUGGUGAUGCGGUAUUACCGCACAUUCGUUCAUAUAUUGACAGCAUCUGAGAUUGAUUAUGGAUAUCUGGUUGUGCCUUGGUUUGGUUUCAGCGAGGAUGCAUUGCCCACAACUGCGACUCGGCUUUCUAUAAUCGAUCAUUUAUGGAAAUAUUUGGAAGUGUGAUAUGAUAUUCAUCAGGAUGGAAAAUACUAUAUUUCGCAGGAUUGGAGGUGACUGGAGACUCCUAUGCGCAGCGCGUAGAUUAGUCAAAGGUCAUGCUAUAAAGCUUGUUGUCACCGAAAAUACAAGGAAUGGUUACUUUGCAAUGCGUUCAUAGAGGUUUCGUGAAAUCUAUGAAUACUACUGAUGCAAGGCAUGUGUAUCAGGUUAACCAUUACUUCAUUCAGAGUCCACUCAGGAAAAAAUGCAGUGAUGUUUGAGAUGAUGUGUGCUAUAAGACAUGGAGUCUGUAGUUUUUUGGGGUUGGUGCUCUUUUGUUAUUGUGCAGUUGGCUGCCGUGUAUUUUGGAUGAUUUGUUUUGAGGUCAGUGUGGUCAUCUUGCAUUAUCUUCGUAUGAUAUGGUAAACCUUGAUCAAUGCUAUGUUUGUGAUUGUUUUUUUGUCUAAAGUCCGGUCAUUUUAGAAGUACUUUCUAAUUAUGGUUGAAUUUGAUGCAACAUAGCACUUAUGCACUUACUGUGA